rnacentral:rRNA from 1 species
AGGCAGCAGUGGGGAAUAUUGCGCAAUGGGCGAAAGCCUGACGCAGCGACGCCGCGUGGGGGAUGAAGGCCUUCGGGUUGUAAACCUCUUUCAGCGCCGAAGAAGCGAGAGUGACGGUAGGCGCAGAAGAAGCACCGGCUAACUACGUGCCAGCAGCCGCGGUAAUACGUAGGGUGCGAGCGUUGUCCGGAAUUAUUGGGCGUAAAGAGCUCGUAGGCGGCUUGUCGCGUCGGAUGUGAAAGCCCGGGGCUCAACUCCGGGUCUGCAUUCGAUACGGGCAGGCUAGAGUUCGGUAGGGGAGACUGGAAUUCCUGGUGUAGCGGUGAAAUGCGCAGAUAUCAGGAGGAACACCGGUGGCGAAGGCGGGUCUCUGGGCCGAUACUGACGCUGAGGAGCGAAAGCGUGGGGAGCAAACAGGAUUAGAUACCCUGGUAG